rnacentral:rRNA from 1 species
CUACGGGGCGCUCCAGUGGGGAAUAUUGCACAAUGGGCGCAAGCCUGAUGCAGCCAUGCCGCGUGUAUGAAGAAGGCCUUCGGGUUGUAAAGUACUUUCAGCGGGGAGGGAGGGAGUAAAGUUAAUACCUUUGCUCAUUGACGUUACCCGCAGAAGAAGCACCGGCUAACUCCGUGCCAGCAGCCGCGGUAAUACGGAGGGUGCAAGCGUUAAUCGGAAUUACUGGGCGUAAAGCGCACGCAGGCGGUUUGUUAAGUCAGAUGUGAAAUCCCCGGGCUCAACCUGGGAACUGCAUCUGAACUGGCAAGCUUGAGUCUCGUAGAGGGGGGUAGAAUUCCAGGUGUAGCGGUGAAAUGCGUAGAGAUCUGGAGGAAUACCGGUGGCGAAGGCGGCCCCCUGGACGAAGACUGACGCUCAGGUGCGAAAGCGUGGGGAGCAAACAGGAUUAGAUACCCUUGUAGUC